CAUCAGAACUGGAGACAGUAUUCCAACAGCAACCACACCAGUGCAAAAUACAGAGAACACCAGGGCAGGUCUGAUGUCAAGGGAAUGAAGUCUUCUCUUCAGCAGAAGCAUGGGGUUUCAGAAAAAGGACACAAAUCCAGGGCUGCUAGAAAAUGGAGCAGAAACUCCGUCACCAACUUGACCUCUCAGCAGGAGCAACUUACCAGGAGCCAAUCGUUCAGAUAUGAGACAACUGUGUAACAUUAACAUUUCAUUUGGGCUGCCACCACAGAGAAAACUUUUGUAAACACUCUGGAUGCUAUUGCUAGCCAAAGAGAAGAACUCUUAACUGGAAUUGUUCUUGGCCCACCAUAAAUUGCAGGAACUUUCUGUGAGUGGGAUGAAUUUCUACAUGAAAGUAAAAAGCAACAGAGGGUCCUGUGGCACCUUUAAGACUAACAGAAGUAUUGGGAGCAUAAGCUUUCGUGGGUAAGAACCUCACUUCUUCAGAUGCAAACUGAAGAACAUGAAAGUAUGCAUCCUUCAUAUCGAGAGCCACAAAUCAGAUUGGAUAAUCAAUGCUAAUGUAACCAUCCUGAAUUUCAACUUUCAAAUAAAGAUGUUUAGUUGCA